rnacentral:lncRNA from 1 species
GAAUAGUUUUGCUCCUCCAGGUGCUUCCAACAAGACUCACUGCCUCACCCAAAUAAUGGGGCCAACUGUUCAUGGACCGAAACUUCUAGAACUGUUAAGCCCAAAUAAACCUUUUCUAUUUAUAAGUUGUUUAUCUUAGGUGUUUGCUAAGUAAUGAAAAUCUUACUGACACUUUUGCUCCUUUUACUGUACUUGACUUUGAUAGUCUGGUCUAGAAGCACAAAAGAAAAAGGUUAGCACGCUGAGAAAAAAAGCAUUUUUGUAUUUGAAUCCAAAAGAAGUUCAUUGUUUAUGAGCUGUUUGACUGCUUUUUUCAUCAGUAUAGUUUUGCUUUCUCCUGGGGAGCUCAUUUUCGUUAGUCACAACCAUUUAC